AGAGUUUGAUCAUGGCUCAGNNNGAACGUUAGCGGCGCGCCUAACACAUGCAAGUCGCACGCGAAAGGGGCAACCCAAGUAAAGUGGCGCACGGGUGCGUAACACGUAGAUAACCUGCCCUUUGGAGGGGGAUAACGUUCCGAAAGGAGCGCUAAUACCGCAUACAGCAUUCUGGGGUUUGCUCCGGGAUGGCAAAGGUAGGGACCCGCAAGGGCCUAUCGCCAGAGGAGGGGUCUGCGGCCCAUCAGCUAGUUGGUGAGGUAAUGGCUCACCAAGGCAGAGACGGGUAGCUGGUCUGAGAGGAUGAUCAGCCACACUGGUACUGGAACACGGACCAGACUCCUACGGGAGGCAGCAGUGGGGAAUCUUGGUCAAUGGGCGAAAGCCUGAACCAGCGACGCCGCGUGAGUGAUGAAGGCCUUCGGGUUGUAAAGCUCUGUGGGGCGAGACGAAAGCGCACGUUCUAACAGGACGUGUUUUGACGGUAUCGCCUUAGCAAGCACCGGCUAACUCUGUGCCAGCAGCCGCGGUAAGACAGAGGGUGCAAACGUUGCUCGGAAUCACUGGGCGUAAAGGGCGUGUAGGCGGGAGAGAAAGUCGGGCGUGAAAUCCCUGGGCUCAACCCAGGAACUGCACUCGAAACUUCUUUUCUUGAGUGCCGGAGAGGAAAGCGGAAUACCUGGUGUAGAGGUGAAAUUCGUAGAUAUCAGGUGGAACACCAGUGGCGAAGGCGGCUUUCUGGACGGUAACUGACGCUGAGACGCGAAAGCGUGGGGAGCAAACAGGAUUAGAUACCCUAGUAGUCC
rnacentral:rRNA from 1 species